rnacentral:rRNA from 1 species
UGGGGAAUAUUGGACAAUGGGCGAAAGCCUGAUCCAGCCAUGCCGCGUGUGUGAAGAAGGUCUUCGGAUUGUAAAGCACUUUAAGUUGGGAGGAAGGGCAGUAAGCGAAUACCUUGCUGUUUUGACGUUACCGACAGAAUAAGCACCGGCUAACUCUGUGCCAGCAGCCGCGGUAAUACAGAGGGUGCAAGCGUUAAUCGGAAUUACUGGGCGUAAAGCGCGCGUAGGUGGUUCGUUAAGUUGAAUGUGAAAGCCCCGGGCUCAACCUGGGAACUGCAUCCAAAACUGGCGAGCUAGAGUAGAGCAGAGGGUGGUGGAAUUUCCUGUGUAGCGGUGAAAUGCGUAGAUAUAGGAAGGAACACCAGUGGCGAAGGCGACCACCUGGGCUCAUACUGACACUGAGGUGCGAAAGCGUGGGGAGCAAACAGG